GGCCCGUCGAUCGACAGGCAGGGGGCGCGGGUGCUGAGCCAUAAGGAUACGCAAUCAAGUCCAAAGUAAGCGAGUUAAUUUAGGUGGAGUGUGCACUCUAGCCGCGAAACUUGUUCCAUACUCGACGCCGGGGAGAGAUACUCCCCGUCGUUGGGGAAGUUGCACCAUCGAGAUGUUACCACGCUCAUGAGGGUAAGUGGAGAACAGAACUCGAUUACGACGAGCCGACAACGACAAGUAAGACAUCUUGCGACUCGAAUAAAUUUGUAUUACGGGUUGAAAUCAUAUACCGCGCUGCAACAAAUAUCAUCGCGCAACAGGAAUAUUUUAAUUUUAAUUAACGAUACACUCGCUCGUUGAUAUCAAUUCGAUAUCAAAUUCGUUUUUUUUCCUUUUUUUUUUUUUUUAAUUUCCUACAUAACAUAAUUUCCGAAUCAACCUCUAUUUCAAUUUUCUGGCGCGUAAGAACGCGAGCGAUGAAAACAAACAAAUGGAAAAAAAAAAUAAAAAUAAAAAUAAAAAUAUUCGAAACAGGGAACGAAAUAAAACCGAAACUAUAUUAUACACGGAAAAUAUAAUUCAUAUCUUAAUUGAAAUUUCCUGAUUGAACUUUGCCAAAUAAUCGACCGACCACCUCCUCCUCCUCCUUUUUUUCUUUCUUCUUUUCUUUUUUUUCUUUUUUUAAUAGCUACAUCCAAUUAUCGUAUUUUCGUGUCGUCGACGGGGACGCCGUUCGUUCCUGGUAAAAGUGCAAGUUCAUUAAUUACCGGAGGGGGAGAGCCGUGCAAGAAUUUCGUCCACGUUUCCGGUCACACGUUCACGUGACUCGGCGAUCGCUUCAUCCAUUAUCCCCGGGACAAAUUUGUUUUCCGAUACGAACGCAGAUAGCGGCACCGUAGCGCAAACGAAUCGUACGAACGGCCGCGCGAUCGUAAAGCAGUCGCGAAAUGACUUGCGAAUUAAUGAACCCCUCCACCCUCCGGCAACUUGUUUCAGAUAACAUCCGCGCACGCGUAACGCGUUCCGGUUGGUCGAUCAUCGUUAAACAGUGGUCACGAAACGUCACGAAAGCGCGUUCGAAUAUCGCGCCUCCGCUCUCUCUUGUGUUUCUUCCUUUCGGUAAUAUACAAUAAUCCCAACAGUGAGAGGGGGAAACUUAGAACUAGAAAAUUGUAUCCUCGAGUGCACGAAUCGUGAACGCGCGCCCCUCGGAAACUCGUUACCCCGCCCGGGAAUUGAGGAUACGAUUAUUAAGUGAGAACUGGCAUAGACGAUUAUGCGGUCUACGCGAUAAUGGCUGGUUGAAUGGGCUUCAUUAAGACGCUGUACGAGUGGCUGGCAUGCCAGGCAGGUGUGCGCGCGCCAGCUCGUGCCUUCUUACGCCCUUGGUUGUUGCGCGCGUGAGGGCGGCGGUGGAAAAUCGCGACGGCGGAGCAGACGCUGGUUCGUAGGCUUCCAUGAAUGUUUAACCGCUCCAUCCUCUUCCGCGGGAUCAGAGGUAACCCGCGCCAGCUGCACGCAGCACGAGGGGUAACGAGAUUACAACGUCAGCAGCGGGGGUGUUGCGACUAACCUUUUCGCGCGUGUCAAAACCGAUAGCGCACCGAUGGAGCUGGAUCAAUGGAGCGGGUCGGCGCAUCGACGGGACGGAUUAAGGGAAUCGAGAGCUAGGAAAAAUCACUGUCCAAUACGAGAAAUGCCUGGACGAGAAACCGAUUGCCCGUCCGUGAGCGUAUUACUGGGUAAAUUUAAUCGACGAAAUCUUCUCUUAAAUGAACUUGUCUCGUCCCCUCUGUUAUUAGAAUUAGAAUUCUUUUCCGUUCCUCUUGCAGGAAAAGGAUCGCGAAUGAAAUGAAAUAUAAUCGGUACGGUAUAAAACGAUACUUUCCCCGUUUUUUUGUAACUUUUGAUCGUUACUUGUCACCCGAGCGACAACGUAGGGAAACAAAAGGAAAAGGCGGAGGGGAGGGGAAGGGAGUGCUUUUAACCCCGGCGAUUAAAGAUUCAAAUAAACAUUUGCGAACGAUAGCCGGCCGGCUAUAAUUACAAGUGGACAAGAAUAAAGGGCCGCCGUGUGCUUGCUCGCAAUAUCGUGCUCCAAAGGACGUCCAUAUUUCAAUAUGCGAAGGACGGGGUGGGGAGACUUUUAAAAAGCAAUUCACUUUAAGCACCCUCCUCCUCCUCCUCCUCCUCCCUCCGUGCACGUGAAUGCGAACGUGAAAAAAAAGGGCAAGUGUAUGCCACUGUAGACCACGGAGAGUUGGUCCACGGAGUUGCGGGGGAGGAGGGGAAUUGUACGCGCGCACAUACAUACGCGCGCCACGUGGAAAGAUGAAAACGUAAGAGAAUAGGCAGAGAGAGGAGCAGUUGCAUACAGAGGUAAAACUCCGCCCCGCAGGAGGCACUUUAGCGGCGCAUCACUUAUGCAUCGUGCGGCCCUCAACUUACAAAGCGAUCCCCCGAGAUUUCUGCCAACUGCCGCUUUUAGCUACGCCGACGGAAGAACAAGCUGUUCUGAAUUAUGUUAUCUGUAUAUGCAGGGAAACCCCCACCUUUCGCUGCACCUCCCUCCAGCUGCACCUGUUGAACCGUGUGCUCUAAUGACGCGGGGUCAUGGAAAAUGACGAACGCGGGGGAGGAUUCUUUAAAUGAACGACGAAAAAUGCGUACAAUUGGAUCGGAUAUGAAGGAAAUCCUUUUUCAAAUUGUGAAACUAAACAAUCGAUUCGAUCGACGAGAUGGAGAAGGUACGUUCGUCAAUCCUGAUGCACGUUAGGAUUUUGAUCGAUAUUUCCAAUCGGGCCAAAUAGUCGGAUCUUUUUUUUUUUUUUUUUUUUUUAUAGAUACGACCUUAACAGAUUUCAGUCAAUCUUCAAUGUCCACGCGUCGCUCAGCUUCACAGCUUUGUCACAUCGAUUUAUUUAACCAUCGAUUUUCCCCGACUUUCGUCGAUAUUUGCCGAAUCUGUCAAAUGUAAAUCGAAAAUUAUUUCCUCGAAUAAUAUGCAGGGAGCGGGUGACAGAGAUUGAAAAUCAUAAGAAACUUGUAGAAUUUUAUUAAAAAUCGUUUCGAAAUUUCCUCCAUGUUUGUGACUCUCCAUUAAUUACUUCCUAUUGACCUAUUUAUUGGAUAUUAAUAUUAUUGAAUCACCAAGAAAUUAUCCUUCGAAUUAGAAUUUUAACGCUAAAGAAAAGAUUCUCAUUAGAAAAAUUUUCUAUAAACGCUUUGCUUCCCAACCCCAUCAACAACCUAGCAGUUUCCUCUUCCCAAGGCUAAGUGGACAGGGCAAAGUUUCCCCGCGGCAUUCUUAGCCCAGGGAUUCCUAAACACGAGCGAUCCCCAAGCGCAUGGGAAUGCUGGACGUAUUUUCGUAGAUGACGAAACGACCUCCCCACCGACUAUUUCGGCGGGAGUAAUUUCGAAAUUGAAGCCAAACUCGGCGGCGUCGGCAAGCAAGCGGACAAGCGAGGCAAAACCGACCAGGCUCGAGGAGCAAGAUGGCUAGCAGGCUUGGGCGGGCGAGUAAACUCUAACUCGAUCCACGGCGGUUUAGCAAGUUUAACCAGGGGCCAUCAACGGCUUCGUUGCGGAAACCGUCGCUUUGGGCCUGGCCUGGAAAAGCGACGUCGCGAGCCUGAAAAAGGAGAAGGGAGAAAGCGGUUAAAUAUAUUCCGAGGAUACGAGAGUUCGAUCGAGUUUGUUGCACGUAAUGUAAUAUGACACACAAGCAUUCUGAUUUCUAAUCAACUUUCGAGCGAAUUAGUCCGAUUUUUGGUGAAAAAUCCUUUGCAUUUAAAUGGAUUGACGUUAUUGAGGGAAUAUAUAUAGAAACAGAACAUGGAUUGCGUAAUUCUAAAAUGAUUCUCUACGUUAAGCUGUGAUCAGGAAGAUCACGGCGUUGCUCUCUCCGAGUGUUGCUCGUUCAUCGAUCUCGAUGAAGAAAAGAAGAGGAGCUACAGGUGAAGAGAGAGAAGAAUAGAGGAAAAGAGAGAGAGAGAGGGGAGGGAGGUGGAUACUUUUAUUACCUCGAGGAUAUAAUAUGAAGAAAAGAGGUUAACAUUCCAUAAAGUAGACGCGGCGAAGAGACAGAAGCAAUUUCACCGUACCGUUGUUAAAUUCAUACAUCCAUCUGUGGGUGUAUAAAAGCGAGACGGGAAAUGUAGGAAGCAUUUUUCUAGCAAUGGCGGCCGUAUAAGAGAAGAGGGGUAUGAUUGAACUGUAAUGAUGCCGCUUUCACAAAGAAUGGAGAGAGAAGUGCGGAAAGUAGGAACAGAAUAAAAUUUCAAACCGACUGUCGAAGAUAAUAAAAGGAACGAACAACAACCGGUGGGAAAGGAGGGGAGAAAAGGGAAAAAAUGGUAUCCGACUCGUCAAUACCGGCUUGACACUGCGAGGGGGAGUAACGCGUAAAGUCUGAAAUUUACUGCUUUGCGCUAUUCCUUGUAAAUGAACGAAAGAAAGAAUUACAUUACAUCUCUUACUCUUCUAAUUCUCUCGUUCUUUCGUAUAACUUCAUUUCUGCACGAAUUUGUAAGAGAAUCUAAUUCAAUUUCUCUGCUCAAAUUUUUUUAAUACGAUUAUAAAUUUUCAUUGAAAAUGCGUUUCAUUUUUCGAUUCGUAAUAAAAAAAGAAGAGAGAGAGAAAAAUUUGAUAAAUUUAUACGAGAGCAUUACGUUCUCUAUUUAUCUUUGUACGUUUGUAUCUUCGUAUUUGCCAUCCUCUUUGACAGGGGAUAGCAAAAUAAGGCUAUAGCCCGUCUUUGUCGCAUAAAGAUCUUCCUCCGCGCACGGAGGAAGAUUUGUGUGGUUAUAUAAGUAGUGAAUUCUGUUUCCUCUUUACAGCUUCUACUUACCAGCACUUAGAAAAUGUUCACCGAGUACACUUUGUGUACACCCGUACGCUUUCCGAACCUCUUUACUCUUUUCGAAGCUGGUCUCUGAGAGUGGUUUCGAGCGACGUCUUCCGUCCCUUCGAACAAAUUCAAUUUACCAACCUCGACAACCAUUGUCGUUAUCUGCCACCCACCGUUGUUUCGCAACGUCCGAUCCUCAUCGAUGAUUUUUUUAAGAAAAUCGCCUUCCCUAAUUUUCCUAAUUUUUACGAACUUUCUUUCGACGGAAAUUUAACGAGUUGUCUUCCUGUCUACAAUUACAAUCGACUCGAUCGUAGUCCAUUUUUCCAACAAAAAGAAAAAAAACGAAUAAAUAAAUAAAUAAA